CCUACGGGGGGCAGCAGUGGGGAAUAUUGGACAAUGGGGGGAACCCUGAUCCAGCCAUGCCGCGUGUGUGAAGAAGGCCCUCGGGUUGUAAAGCACUUUCAGUGAGGAAGAACGCCUGGAGGUUAAUAUCCAUCAGGAAAGACAUCACUCACAGAAGAAGCACCGGCUAACUCCGUGCCAGCAGCCGCGGUAAUACGGAGGGUGCGAGCGUUAAUCGGAAUUACUGGGCGUAAAGCGCGCGUAGGUGGCUUGAUAAGCCGGUUGUGAAAGCCCCGGGCUCAACCUGGGAACGGCAUCCGGAACUGUCAAGCUAGAGUGCAGGAGAGGAAGGUAGAAUUCCCGGUGUAGCGGUGAAAUGCGUAGAGAUCGGGAGGAAUACCAGUGGCGAAGGCGGCCUUCUGGACUGACACUGACACUGAGGUGCGAAAGCGUGGGUAGCAAACAGGAUUAGAUACCCCUGUAGUC
rnacentral:rRNA from 1 species